rnacentral:rRNA from 1 species
AGCAGUCGCCGCGGUAAUACCGAGGGUGCGAGCGUUAAUCGGAUUUACUGGGCGUAAAGCGUGCGUAGGCGGCUUCUUAAGUCGGAUGUGAAAUCCCUGAGCUUAACUUAGGAAUUGCAUUCGAUACUGGGAAGCUAGAGUAUGGGAGAGGAUGGUAGAAUUCCAGGUGUAGCGGUGAAAUGCGUAGAGAUCUGGAGGAAUACCGAUGGCGAAGGCAGCCAUCUGGCCUAAUACUGACGCUGAGGUACGAAAGCAUGGGGAGCAAACAGGAUUAGAUACCCCAGUAGUCCCUGUCUCUUAUAC